CAUGAGAAAAGUUCCUUCAGUCUUAACUUUGAUGCUCUUUCGAAAGACAUUGGUGUCAAGGUUAACAUUUGCCUAUACUCAUUCCAACAUUUCAUAUGCCUUGUUCUGCAAUAUAAGAAUUUGAAUGCGCUUCAUUCUUUGUUAAACAGGUACCUGUCGAGGAUAUGAAGCAAUGAUUGCUCGGAUGUAAGGGUUGCUGAACCAGGGUUUGAAUGUUCAAACUAUUCAGGCGUAGGUCUGGGCUAGGCUCAAGUUCCCAUGGCAAUCGAUAGAAAGAAAGAAAAAGAAGCAAAAGUAUUAACACAUUGAAUUUUCAUUCCUCCAUAUACAUGGACCAUGGUAACCUUUUGGAUUAAAUUUUUGAAAAGUUAUCCUUUUUAAACUUCAAACGCCAUUAUUUUAUAUAAUGUGGCAGUUCCUUUAUUUUCUAGGUAGCCAUGGAAUAUUUUUCAGUUCGACUUCCAUUUAAAGAUGAUUUCUAUUAUCAUCAAUCAAGUGUCAAUCGUAUCUGUUACUCAUGAAAACAGAAGUUUAGCACGUUUGCUUUAAGAUUAUUUGUAUUUGUUUUAAAAGGAGUUUGCUUGGAGUUGAGAAAGAGCAUCCACUAAGUAUAAUGAUAUUAUGUUGUGUUGGGCACAUUAUUAAGCUUUAUAAAGAAGAUAUAUCAAGAUCUAAGUUCAAAAGGCGUCAGUAGUACUGACUUAAAUCAUACUUCCUUUAGGUUUAUAGAGGCUGGCCCGCAGGAGUUGGGACCUGCUAUAUUAGUAUCCCCCUCUUUUCAAGGUGUCAUUGGACGGACCUCAAGUACAUUGACAACCUGCAAGCAGUUAUCCGUCUUUCAAAAGUUCAGGCUAUCUGCUCUAUCACUGAUGUGAAUAUGGCUUCACCAAUGGUUUUUUAGUUGUGGUCUACUUUUGCGUGGUGUUUCAAUGAACUAUGAAGACAUCCCAAACAGAGUUCAUUUUACAGGGAAUGCAAAAUUAUUUUAAACAUCUUCUAUUGUCAGCAUUUGAUCCCCUGAAAUAUUUCCUUGCGACUCUCAGUUGAAUGUAUGACUGUGUUGGUUCCCAACUGCUUAAAUAUAUGGAUAACAAUGGCCAAACGUCUGAUGCACUUUUUGGAUGAUGCUAAGGAACUUUCACUAUCUAGGGUGGAGUCUAGCAGCGCUGGUUUUGUUGCCAUAUGCUAUCUCUUAUUCUACCCAUGUGCUGUAUGCCCUUAACCCCAAUUCAAACUCAUUGAUUAGUGGCUCCUUGGAAAAGGGUCAUGUUUCACCGCAGGGAAAGCUUGAGCUUGAACAUGUUAUUGAAGUCUGGAGGGUACCGCUUGGGUUCUCUAAAAACCUCACCGAAUCAGUGUUCUAUGAAUAUUUUGCUUGUGGAUUUGAGUCACAAGGAUCAGGUUCUUGAUCUCCUUCCUUUGCUUGGUGAAGUUGUAUGUUUCCUGGAAGAUGUCUGUCUCAGAAGUAGUUUCAGAUGAAAGUAGAUACAUGUAUUGUGGCGAUCAUAAUAUAUCCUUUGCUUGGCGAUGGUGUGAUAGGUUUCCUGGAAGAUGUCUGUACUUCAGAAGUAGUUUCCAGAUGAAAGUAGAUACAGAUAUGGUGGCGAUCAUGUAAUAACUACUGCCAAGAACAGUAUCUGCCAGGUUGGCAGGGUACCAAUUCUGGAUUGGGAUUCCUCACGGAUCCCAUCAUUUCAUUCACAGAGUUUUGGACAGAGAGUAUGACAAACCAAUUCAAUUUUGUAGUAUACCAUGAGCUGUUAAUCUAACAUUGAAUUCUUCCUCACUUUCCAAAGGACGGGAAUAGGUUUCAAUUUUAUAAAAUCCAAGUACUUAUUCCAAAUUGAUAACAACAAUUGGGACAUCAUCGGUUACCACUAAAAUCGUCAUGGUUUUGAGAGGGAAGUUCAUUUCCCACCUUGGGCCGCGAAGGGUUGAUUCCCCUGGGGCCCAAGCCGACCAAUGGAUAGUCCGGCGCAAAAGCAACGAAUGAAGGAGGGUAGAACUGGACCCGAGAAGACCCAUUAGAUACGGUGACUAGUCACGUCACCUACCCAAGCCACAACCCAUACUGCCGAACAACGAGCACGCCGCAUUAAAUGGCCAUAAGAACUAGCACGCAAGGUCAGAGCCUGACGUCUACUCAUCACUCCUGUAAUCACAACGGUGUGCACACAUCCCCUUCUUCUACAACAAGAGACAAACUGAUAAGAGGAAGAGCGACCCACAUAUAAUACGGCAAUGCAACAGCUGACAUGAUAGAGAAGGACCCUGCCACUAUUAUAACACUCGGUACACCCUUGCACGACCUGCUAGCAGUGGGCAGGGACUACUGUGACCAGGCAUAUAAGCACGUCUCGAGUUCAAGUAAAGGGAUCUGAACAUUUUCUCCUAGCAUUUUCUACACAAAAGAAUUAUUCUAAUUUAGACAUAAGAGGUGUCACUCGCUAGAGUCCUCAUCUUAGUGAAUCUUACAAGUCUUCGAGAGGAACUGCUGAGUUGCCCAGAUUACGAAACACUACAUCAAAAAGUUUUGCUUUUAAGGGUCUUUUCCAUUGACCACCCUUGCUCAUGUUUCAUCACGAAGAUAUUUGUGGUCGUUAUAGAUGAAUAUAGCGACAGACCACCUAAUUGCUUUUGUCAUGACAAGAUGAAAGUCUUGUCCACUGCUCCAAUGGCCACGCGGCCAUCACAUAUAGAGAUGCGGGAUGGAAGCACCAAACAUUAAACUGCAACUGUGAUGAGUCGAAAUCUUUUGACUAUUUA